AGCAGCCGCGGUAAUUCCAGCUCCAAUAGCGUAUAUUAAAGUUGUUGCAGUUAAAAAGCUCGUAGUUGAAUUUCGGGAUCAUCAGGUUGGUCGUGCCUCCGGUAUGUACUUGCUUCGGUGGUCCCUCCUUCUUGAAGAACCGUAAUGGCAUUAAUUUGUUGUUGCGGGGAAACAGGACUGUUACUUUGAAAAAUUAGAGUGUUUAAAGCAGGCAAUCGCUUGAAUACAUUAGCAUGGAAUAAUGAAAUAGGACGUUCGAUCCUAUUUUGUUGGUUUCUAGGAUUGACGUAAUGAUUAAUAGGGAUAGUUGGGGGCAUUAGUAUUCAAUUGUCAGAGGUGAAAUUCUUGGAUUUAUUGAAGACUAACUACUGCGAAAGCAUUUGCCAAGGAUGUUUUCAUUAAUCAAGAACGAAAGUUAGGGGAUCGAAGACGAUCAGAUACCGUCGUAGUCUUAACCAUAAACUA
rnacentral:rRNA from 1 species